rnacentral:rRNA from 1 species
GGACGAAGAAGNUUGCUUCUCUGAUGUUAACGCCGGACGGGUGAGUAACACCGUGGAUAACCUACCUAUUAGACUGGGAUAACUUCGGGAAACCGGAGCUAAUACCGGAUAAUAUUUUGAACCGCAUGGUUCAAAAGUGAAAGACGGUCUUGCUGUCACUUAUAGAUGGAUCCGCGCUGCAUUAGCUAGUUGGUAAGGUAACGGCUUACCCAAGGCAACGAUGCAUAGCCGACCUGAGAGGGUGAUCGGCCACACUGGAACUGAGACACGGUCCAGACUCCUACGGGAGGCAGCAGUAGGGAAUCUUCCGCAAUGGGCGAAAGCCUGACGGAGCAACGCCGCGUGAGUGAUGAAGGUCUUCGGAUCGUAAAACUCUGUUAUUAGGGAAGAACAUAUGUGUAAGUAACUGUGCACAUCUUGACGGUACCUAAUCAGAAAGCCACGGCUAACUACGUGCCAGCAGCCGCGGUAAUACGUAGGUGGCAAGCGUUAUCCGGAAUUAUUGGGCGUAAAGCGCGCGUAGGCGGUUUUUUAAGUCUGAUGUGAAAGCCCACGGCUCAACCGUGGAGGGUCAUUGGAAACUGGAAAACUUGAGUGCAGAAGAGGACACAGUGGAAUUCCAUGUGUAGCGGUGAAAUGCGCAGAGAUAUGGAGGAACACCAGUGGCGAAGGCGACUUUCUGGUCUGUAACUGACGCUGAUGUGCGAAAGCGUGGGGAUCAAACAGGAUUAGAUACCCUGGUAGUCCACGCCGUAAACGAUGAGUCCCCAGUGUUAGGGGUUUCCGCCCCUUAGUGCUGCAGCUAACGCAUUAAGCACUCCGCCUGGGGAGUACGACCGCAAGUUG